rnacentral:lncRNA from 7 species
AUGGGUUUCCUACACGAGCCAUCGGGAGCUGAACCUGGAGCAGACCUACAGAAACUUUUUGGCACAGGCAGAAUAGUGAGCAGGAGCCCCGUGUGCCCCCGAGACAGCACUUCCAUGGCUUGGGAGGUCAGGCGGGGGUCUGCAUGCCGGGCAGAGAGGAACGCAGCGGAGUGUCCAGAGAAACGCCUGGGAUCCCCUCAGCUGCUCGGCUCAGGGGGGGCUCCGGGCCCAAUCCUGGGGCAGAAGGUCGGAUCCACGCACUGCAGCUCAGAUGGGAACAAUGUUAAAUUAACAGCAGAAAAAGGUAUCUGCACAACUUCUGAAGGGGUCCGCCAGGCUGAGCAGAUCAAGCAAAAGCGAAGGGAAGAGGAGAACAUGCUGCAGAAAUACGAGAGCUGCCCUCAGUUCCAGCGCUUUGCAGCACUGUCUGUGCAUCAAUUCCUGCCUGGCAGCCUGGUCAGAGGAGGUCAGGUCAGCAGGAAGGCACCGAGUUAGCUUAGCCCUGUGCCUUAAAAUAAGAAAAAAGGGGCUCAGACGGAUGGUGGCUUCACCGAAAAAGGAGAGAAGAACCCUUGCAGAAGCUCGGUCCCAGCCAGCAGCGUGCAGGAAGGCAGAUAUUACAAGUUGGCCAAUUAAACCCAGGAAACUUCUGAGGACAAAGAAUGGCCCAGCGCUGCGGAGGGGUCCCUGGUGGCUGCUGUGAGCUGCAGGCUGUCAAAGCGCCUCACGUCUCAGCUCUGCUUGGCACUGCUCUGCGUUCGCUGAUGCCCGAAGGCUCAGGGCUGCGCCCAAGGCUGCUGAAUGCACGAGGUGAGUGCCUGCGAGUCCCACCCCAAAUAUCCCUCCCUGGGGC